GACCCGCCAGCAUCAGGCCUGGACUGUGACUUAUGCAGCGUCCCACUACGUGUGUGUGGGCACUGCUUAAAAGCACUUUUUACUCUAAAAACUGUACUAUGCUGUAUUAUGUGACUUUGUGCUAA